GGGCCUAUAGCUCAGUGGUAGAGCAUUUGACUGCAGAUCAAGAGGUUAUCAGUUCAAGCCCGGUUGGACCUU
rnacentral:tRNA from 1 species